UGAUGUGGCUCAGUUGGUAGAGCAGCUGAUUCGUAAUCAGCAGGUCGCCGGUUCAAGUCCGGCCAUCA
rnacentral:tRNA from 1 species